rnacentral:lncRNA from 13 species
CAAAGUUAAUGAAACUAUCCUGCAAGUUGACAUGUUCUCUGGCUCUAGUCUUCUCUACCUCAUUCUGCUGAGCGACUUCCUUGGAUCACUGGGAACAAUUCUCCCAGAGAUAGCAAAGGUUCUGGGAUACAUGUGAAGAACAUGCAGGAUUGUUGCAUAGAACAUUAGAAGCACUUGCUGCUUACCGUUGAUCAAGCAAUGAAAUGAAG